GGGCUUCAGUCGCAGCGAAUUCGACCGACGAAGAAGUUCACUUGCGGUUCAAUCGGUCAUAUUCAGUUUGUUGCCGAAGCUCGUCUCUUCAUUGUCCAAGGUCAACUGCGCACGCCUUAUCAACAGAUGAGUUUAGCUUAGUCCCCAGCAAAGAACCUAUCAUAAUCACCUUCCUAAGAGUACGGUACGUUCUAUUAUGAAGCAGUCGAUCGGCGAGAAAUUGACCAGAUCAAAACAAAGAAUAAUCUCUUUUACUCUUGCUGCAGGCGAGAGAACUCAGAGAGAGUUGGUUGCUCUGGCGCCCUGCUAAUUAAUUUACACAAUCGAGCCUCUGUUGGCACUCGAUCAAAUUUCGCAUUGUUCGAUUCGGCACUUUGUUUUGCCUGCCUUUCAAUUAGCGCAGCGGUCGGCAAGCCACUCGGCUAACAGACCUCUAACAGAGCUCUGGUAUAGGUCUGCUAUAUAUCCGCUAGCUCCUCAGUUGACUUCAAAACGUCGCUGGUCGUGGGUGCGCUGCUCCGUCGGAACUGGGAAAACUCCAUCGAAAACCUGCUAUCAUUAUAUCGGACCGCGAAUUAAGAAUGCCAAUGUUAAUUAAUUCGUAAGCUAGCGUGUGAUUUUGCCGGUGUCUGGAAACCCGAACAAUCGUAACCGGUUCGCUGCCCGAUCGCGCAGUGACACCCACCUUCCCGGGAAUUCCCCAAAGCGAGUGUGUUUCGAAAAAUAUUGAGAAAGAGACGCGUUUUAUACUUAUUAUGGAUAUGAGGAUCUCUUGAUUUCUUGAGAAACUUGUAUGUGGUUACCGCCUUGAGCCACUGUCUCUUCGCAGGUCCAAUUUGCAUAAGUAAACCGGCUAAAAACACACAACUCGUAACGCAGAUCGAACCUAAAACCGAAACCAUGUUUCGUUAAAGCCUUUUCGCAAGGCGACAAAAAAACCGUAAACCCCAAAAGACUCUCACAGAGGUCCGACUGUUUUUGUUUACCCAUCAAUACCUGGCCAGUGUUUUCAGGUACUGAUACUGACGUUCGUAAAAUUCCCCACUGAUCUAAAACUGGAACAACAACAACAGGAAGAACUCUGUUGCUCAGCAAACUACUUUAAGUGUCCACAUUAUUCACCACCUGAACUGGAACCACCAUUAUGCCGAAGAAAAUCCAGCAGCCAGGCGGAUCCCUCUAUUGCGGAGUUACAUUACUGGGCGUCCUGUGCCUGGUCGUGUUCCGCAUGAUUCCGGGGAUUCCCUUCGGCACUUACGUGAUGGCCGAGAGAGACCACUACCACACCAUAGAUGAUCCUAAUGUGCCCUGUAACUUCUACGAUACGGUCAAUCUGACGGGUCAUCCGGUCUUCCCGAACGGAAGCUACGAUUACUACGGCACAAUAGUUCCUGCCGAAUUGGUCGGAACGUACGACUACAUACACAGUUCGCUAACGGAACGAAUAGAGGUUCGGGAGCACGUGAGGGGAUGCGUUUGCAAGUUCAAGUCUUGCCUGAAUAUCUGCUGCCCGUGGCGGCAGGUCUUUAACUCUAAAGUAGACGGAUGCAUAAUAGACCACAACGACAACCGAACGUGGCCAGAUCCGCCCAUGCUCAAUAUAACCUUCCGCAACGAGUCUACGAUAUUGGUCAACAUGUUUGCGCAGUUUGCAAUCCAAAGCUUCCGACCCUGUCCAAAGAUGUUUUCCCUGCAGCCAGAGGCCAACGAUUGGGAUGAUUACCUGCUUUUUGAGAACGGAUCCAUGCUCCGUAUGGACGAUCAAAAGCUAAUCAGGAAGAACGAGUUCUGCAUGGUUCCGACCUACGUCAACGAAUCGGACAUGUUCUAUACCAUUCAUCCGGCUAACUGUGACAUGCAGGACGAUCAUAGCACGGUAAAGAUUAUCAAUGCCUAUGCCAUGAUGUUUUCCAUUCCCUUCAUGAUGCUGACGAUAGCUGUUUACCUACUGAUUCCCGAGCUCCGCAACCAGCACGGCAAGAGCUUGGUCUGCUAUUUAAUUGGUCUCACCGUGGGCUACACCUCGCUUGGCUACGUGCAACUCUUUAACGUUGAUGCCACGGGUGAAGUAUGCAAAGUGUUUGGAUAUACAGCCUAUUUCUUCUUCAUGGGAGCCUACAUGUGGCUAAGUGUCAUCAGCUUCGACUUGUGGCACAAUUUCCGAGGGACAAGGGGCAUCAACCGCUUCCAGGAGAAGAAACGCUUCCUGUUCUAUUCGCUGUACUCUUGGGGUAUCGCCGUAGUUUUCCUGGCCUUCACCUAUUGCGCCCAGGAAUUUACCGAUUUGCCACCAAAGCUUAAGCCAGGCAUUGGGGAUGGCGUGUACUGCUGGCUGGAUAUGAGCAACUGGGCAGCCAUGAUCUAUUUCUACGGUCCCAUUCUGGUGAUCGUUGUUGCAAACACCAUCAUGUUCAUAAUGACGGCAAUCAAGAUUCACGGCGUGCAGCGUGAGAUGGCCCGGAUAAUUGCGAGUGAGAACAGCACCAAGAACCUACGAACCGAGAAGGACAAGUUCGGCUUGUUCUUGCGCCUCUUCCUCAUUAUGGGCAUCACGUGGCUCACGGAACUCAUCUCGUACUUCGUGGGCAACGACAAGGGGUGGUCUAAGCUCUUCUACAUCUCGGAUCUGGCCAAUGCUAUGCAGGGCUUUCUCAUCUUUAUGUUGUUUGUGAUGAAGAAGAAGGUCAAGCACUUGAUCACAAACAGACCGCUUUCGAUAUUGCUUAACUGCAAGCUCAACACCAACAGACACUGCCAGCAGACUAACUCUAAACCAGACACUAACAGCCAACAAAGCCCUCAAUCUCCAGCCGCGUAACUCGGUGACUCAGUCCGGUCGCGUUUUUGUAGCUACUAGAAAUACCAUUCCUAAGUGCCCUGAUCUAAACUUACACAAACUUAUGUUUGCAUCUACAAUGUGUGUCCAUAUGUGCAUGUGUCUCAACAUUAAUGUGAUCAUCAUCGAUCGCUAUCCAUUGAAGACUCCUGGAGAAAACCCGCUCAAAUGGCUUGAGCUCGACCACUACAUCGACUUCCAUCACUUCCGACUCGAAUGUGCAGCCGAGAAAGCUGCACCUUAAGGCUGUUGAAAGGGCCGGUGGCAAAACCACCAACCCGAGUCCGACCCCGAAGAUAGACAUCUAAUCAAACUGGUCACAGAUGCUCGAGUGUUCGCGAUGGCAGCAACCAACGUCAGAGCCAAUAUUCCACCAAG